UGGUAAAUGACACGAAACAGCAAGUUGAUGCGGUGGGUCCCACAAAUGGUUACAACAUAACUCACGUCGUUUUCUCAUUCGGUGUCUUCCCAAAAUAAUUGUAGCAUAUUUAGAAUCUCUAGGCAGUGGGCCCCACCCUUUGAGAUUGCAACACGUGUGGUUCUUUCAUUGGUUGUACCAACCAACCAAUGACCUCCCUUU
rnacentral:lncRNA from 1 species